UCUGCAAGACAUACAAAUGCUAUUUCUCCCACUUGAGAAGGAAAAAAUAAAUAAAGAAGAAAAAAAGAAAAAAAAAAAAUCAACCUGACAAUAGCUGAUAGCACUAUCACUUGCUUAGUUACUUUAAAAAAGCGCUCAACGUACUUCCACAGAUCUUUAUUUGGCAUUAGAGGUUUUGGGACUGGUAGUGGAGAAGAUGACAGAAUUUGCCCUAACAUACAUUCCUGUAUGUACAAGACUAAUAAGACUAGUAGACAUCAAAAGUGUCUUUUCUGCCUACGUGAAAUUAAAGAGAAUGUAUUAAAAAAAAAAAAAAAGUCAAAGAAUACAGAGGUCUCCUUUUAAUAAAGUGAGGAACUGAUGUGUUCCUUGUUCCAGCACUCCAUCAGCUACAUGGGUAUUCUGGACCUCUUACUUUGAGCUUCUGGUUCACAUGAGCGAUAUACGAAGAGUGGAUCAGAGCACAUCUUGUGUAAGCAGCCUGAACAGAUGACUACUGGGGGAUAGGGUGUGGAAACAUGGCUUUGCAAAAGGGCUUAGAAGAAAAAGAACCUCAAAAUUAAGCCCUAAGUGGUGAUUCUCAAAUUUUAAAGGAAGUACAGUGCCAAGCAAAAGUAGUGUUGGUAAAUACUUUACGUGGUUAUCUAACAAAAGGAAUUACGUCCGGAGAAUGAAUGAAUUCUAAGACAGAGGGAAACAUACACACAGACAGACUAAAAAAUAAAUAUCAGAUCUAACUGAUUUUCAUUCUAAAUAAGAAGAAACUUUGCCUCAGUUUUGUUAACCUUUGAUUAUGAUUUUUUAAAUCACUUUAUCAUUAAAAAUUUGUGUUGAACUUUAGUCUCUACAAAAAGAACUAAGUAAAACAUUAAACAGAAACACUGUACUCAGAGAUGGUAGCUGGACUAUGAUAGUUAACAAAUCCUAAACAAGAUUAAAAGCCAAACAAUAAUUGAGAAAAGUCUUAAAAUUAUUUGAAGAAGAAAGGGCACCUGGAAGACUGAUACCUAAAUCACAUUUUUUCAUCUAUGUUUAAGGCAGUGUUUGAGAAAUACUCCAUACAGCUUUUUUGUCAGAUUUUUUACUCUGCCUUUGAACACUCCUUUUAUUACAGCACAUGUAAUUAGAUGGCUUGUCUGUCAUCUGUCCCCUCAGUAACCAACACACAUCCUGUUCCAAACCAACUAGACCACCACAGUUAUUAACAGGCUACCAGAAUGACAGAAUAUGUAUACUUUACAUGCUCAGAACUGGUGAUUUCUUUUUGUUUAGCAACAAGUAAAUAUUUCCAAACAGUAGCCAAGAAAAUAGUGCAGAACUGCUGAGAUCAAACAACCUUGCCUACCUCAUCAAACCAAUAAACGUGUAAUUUAUAAACAACUGCAUGGAAACAGAUCACCUUCUACAUUUGACAGUACUAAAAGACUGCUGAAGACAGAGCUUGUUAUGGGCCUGAGAAGCCCAGGAGAAGUUCAUAAUCUUCAUCCUUACAGAAUUCUACAAAUAGAUGAAAAGCAUAUUGUGAAUAUCCACUUGUAUUUGUUGGUCCAUCCAAACGAGCAGCAGCAGGUGAGAGCCUGGCAGCAGCCUCAAUAUUUAACUGGCCUAGGAGGAGGUGAGCAUGCAACCACGUCCACUGCCAUCCCCAGUGGGUUACGAUGCUGUCUCAGUACCAAACAAGGAACCAGCUGCGGUCCUCCACCCUGAAGGAGGCUGGUGCACCCUGAAGAAACCAGAACCUACCUCUGUUAGCAAGCAAAGCACAGGCAUGCAAAAGUGCAAACAUACGAGUUAAUAUAAAAGCACAAUACAACACGUGACAGCACACUGCUGGAGCCUACUGUUAUAUAAUUUGCAAACCUCAAGUUCAGCAGCACUGACAAAAACCAACAAAACACCAUUAACUUUAGAUGUAGUGUCAGAGGUGGUUGGCCUCUUCCCCACUAAGAUGAGGCCGCCUCUGUCCCCAGCGCUCAGCAGAGACCCCGGCUCCCGCACAGCACGCAGACCGCUCACAGCUCGCGGUGCGGGCUGCCCAUCACACACCUCCAGGCGCCGGGAUUAGGCCCCUCCGCACUCCGAGCGUCCCCCUCCCCAACGUUCCCAUAAAUGCAGUAACAGGAGAGCAUUCCUAGUAGAUGUUAACUUUUGGAAGGCCUGGCAUCUGACACCCCUCCUAUUUUUCUCCCACAAACAGCUUUAUAGAACCAAGGAAUACACUGAGUUGGAAGGGAUCCACAAAGGACCACCCUAAAUUCAAACCAUACGUCUGAGAGCAGCGUUGGAACACUCCUUGAACUCUGUCAGCUUGGGGCUGUGACCACUGCCCUGGGGAGCCUGUUCCAGUGCCUGACCACCUUCUGGUGAAGAACUUUUUCCUGAUAUCCAACCUGACCUUCCCCUGACAAGGUGUCACUAACAACUGCUCUUAUCACCUUCUUAUACCACUUCAAGAUUCCCUAAUGUGCAUUUCAUAUUACAGUUAAAAUCCUUUUAUUUGUCCUGAUGUCUACCAGCUGUGGGAUCACUGCGCUAUCAUACUUUAAAAAAAAAAAAUAAAUGUAAACAACACAAAACAAAAAA